CUUAAGGAAUGCGACUUCGGUCAAAUGACUUUUGAACUUAGUGGCGGACGGGUGAGUAACGCGUGAGCAACCUGCCUUUCAGAGGGGGAUAACAUUUGGAAACAGAUGCUAAUACCGCAUAAGAUUACAGUACCGCAUGAUACAGUGAUCAAAGGAGCAAUCCGCUGAAAGAUGGGCUCGCGUCCGAUUAGAUAGUUGGUGAGGUAACGGCUCACCAAGUCGACGAUCGGUAGCCGGACUGAGAGGUUGAACGGCCACAUUGGGACUGAGACACGGCCCAGACUCCUACGGGAGGCAGCAGUGGGGAAUAUUGCACAAUGGGCGAAAGCCUGAUGCAGCAACGCCGCGUGAGGGAAGACGGUUUUCGGAUUGUAAACCUCUGUUUUCGGUGACGAAUAAAUGACGGUAACCGAGUAGGAAGCCACGGCUAACUACGUGCCAGCAGCCGCGGUAAUACGUAGGUGGCAAGCGUUAUCCGGAAUUACUGGGUGUAAAGGGAGCGCAGGCGGGAUAGCAAGUCAGCUGUGAAAACUAUGGGCUCAACCCAUAGACUGCAGUUGAAACUGUUAUUCUUGAGUGGAGUAGAGGCAAGCGGAAUUCCGAGUGUAGCGGUGAAAUGCGUAGAUAUUCGGAGGAACACCAGUGGCGAAGGCGGCUUGCUGGGCUCUAACUGACGCUGAGGCUCGAAAGUGUGGGGAGCAAACAGGAUUAGAUACCCUGGUAGUCCACACUGUAAACGAUGAUUGCUAGGUGUGGGGGGUCUGACCCCCUCCGUGCCGGAGUUAACGCAAUAAGCAAUCCACCUGGGGAGUACGGCCGCAGGUUGAAACUCAAAGGAAUUGACGG
rnacentral:rRNA from 1 species